AACGAACGCUGGCGGCAUGCCUAACACAUGCAAGUCGAACGAGAUCUUCGGGUCUAGUGGCGCACGGGUGCGUAACUCGUGGGAAUCUGCCCUUUGGUUCGGAAUAACAGUUGGAAACGACUGCUAACACCGGAUGAUGACGAAAGUCCAAAGAUUUAUCGCCGGAGGAUGAGCCCGCGUAGGAUUAGCUAGUUGGUGUGGUAAAGGCGCACCAAGGCGACGAUCCUUAGCUGGUCUGAGAGGAUGGUCAGCCACACUGGGACUGAGACACGGCCCAGACUCCUACGGGAGGCAGCAGUGGGGAAUAUUGGACAAUGGGCGAAAGCCUGAUCCAGCAAUGCCGCGUGAGUGAUGAAGGCCUUAGGGUUGUAAAGCUCUUUUACCCGGGAUGAUAAUGACAGUACCGGGAGAAUAAGCUCCGGCUAACUCCGUGCCAGCCGCCGCCGUAA
rnacentral:rRNA from 1 species